rnacentral:lncRNA from 1 species
CUCAAACUGAAACUAAUGAUUUUGACUGCGCUCUCAAACUACUGUUUAUUCUUUUCACUGUCAAAUCAAGCACUGUGUUUUAAACAUUAUAGCGAUGUAAAUAAACUACACGACAAAAUGUAGUUCCUGAAUGAAGUAAAGCCAAGGUAAGAUGAAAUAUAUUCAAGUGAGUUUACAUAAGCAUAUCGAAACACAGCGCCGAUUCAAAGUCGGCUGUAAACACAAGCAAUUUCUGAAGAGACAAAAAAGAAAUAGUCAAUAGAUAUUUAGAAGUUUCACGAGCGUUAGAUGCCAUUUUGAGAGUAUUUUAAUUUUCAAUCAAGAAAGUAAUUUACAGAUUAGACGUCUUUUAUAUGCUUGCUUUAAAUUAAACUCGUAUUUGUUGAUGCAGAACGGCUAUGCACAGUGCUGUCUCGGUCAAUAAUAUAAGAAUUUUAAAUAAAAGCGUUUCGUCUUCAAUUCAAAACGACAUCUAACAUCUUUUCUCUCAUGUAUAUUUCCCAAGAUAUUGAUUCAACAGUGAUCUAAACUGAAAAUGGCGUCAUACGAGACUGGUUGGGAAGAUGAACUAUUUCAACAUCCCGUUGGUCACACGUUGCAUUGUAGUAUAUGUCUGAAUGUUUUGAAGGAUCCAAUUUCGUGUCGACAUAAUGAACAUUUGUUCUGUCGAGCUUGUAUCACCAUACAUCUCAUGAACUUUCAAACAUGUCCAUCGUGUAUGGAACCACUCACUGUCGAAUCACUGCGCCAAGCACCUCGGACCGCAACGAACUUACUUUCCGAAUUAAAGAUCCGUUGUCAAUUCUUCGAUCGUGGUUGCGGACAGUUUGUUGAAUUAGGAGAUCUUGAAAGGCAUGUCACUGACUGUGGGUUUGCCCCAGCAGUCUGCUCUAACGAAGGAUGCCAACUUGAGGUGAAUAAACAAGAUUUACUACACCAUGAAACAGCUGUGUGUGAACUACGCAGAGUCAAGUGCCACAAUUGCAACGAAAUCAGACAAGAGAUGGAUACAAUGAAAGUUGAUUUGGCAGCAAUGAAUGAAAAGUUGAAAGGAGUUGGGGAACAUUUGCACAGAAAUGAGACGAACGUUAAGGCAGUGGAGGAAAAUGUUAAAACAGCUGUGGGAAAUGGGCUCGCAAAAGUUGAACGGGUUCAAGAACAGCUUCGAGAACAACUUAACAAGCAGGAAGAAGGCAUUAGUCGACUCAAAGCGGACAACAUAGAAAUGAAGAGAAGUUUAAAUGAAAUUAUGAAACAACUGGAAACAAUGACACAACAAACAUCGCAUGUAGUUCAGGCUGAAGAAAUGAAGAAAGAUAUUGCAGAAGGUGGAAUGGACAGAGAGCUGAAGGUCCUUAUCGCUGGAGGCUGGAAUGGGGCAAAACUUCUAAAUUCAGUGGAAAUGUUCAGUCUCUCAAAUGCAACCUGGACACCACUAAAGCCAAUGAAAGAAAGUCGUACGAAAGCAUCUUCAGUUGUUCACAACAAUCAAUUUUUCGUCAUUGGAGGUGAUGCUAGCAGAGCAGGAAUCAAGUCAAUUGAAAAACUAUCACUGAAUGCUGUUCAAGUUGAUCAGUCCAUAACUUGGGAAAACGUUGUUGCUGAGUUACCUGCAGCAUUGAAUGGACACUGCAGUGUAGUUUAUAAUGGACGGUUGAUAGUGAUUGGAGGUUAUGAUGGUAGUAAACAUGCAUAUUCUGAUAGUAUUACUGAGAUUUCCCUUGUCCCACCUUAUACCAGUAAACUGUUGGCUACCAUGCCACAGGCAAGAUAUCUUCAUGGUGUUGCAAUGUUUGGUGACAAGAUACUGAUUCUUGGAGGUAGGACCUCAUUCUGGGACUAUACAACAAAUCUUGCAAGUGUUUUGUUGUAUGAUAUUACUAAGAAUGAAUGUAAGGAGCUAGCAGCCCUCCCCUACCCUGUGUCUGAAAUGGCCACAGUCAAGUGGGGUGAUGACAGUGUGAUCAUAGCGGGUGGUGUUGACAGUAAUGAUCAAGCAUUAAACAAAGUUUUAUUAUACAACAUCAAGACCCAGAAGAGUCGUAUGUUACCAGACAUGAAGUAUAAGAGGGCAGGAUGUGUGGCUGCAGUUGUCAGAGACACUGUGAUUGUCAUGGGUGGCCGAGAUGAAAGAAGAAUAUGCUUAAAGUCUGUAGAAUGUUUUCAAUUUGAUCGCUAUAGCUGGCAAGAACUUCCUGAAAUGCAGGAAGACAGAUACUUGGCUACUG